rnacentral:rRNA from 1 species
GAUGAACGCUGGCGGCGUGCCUAAUACAUGCAAGUCGAGCGAACGGACGAGAAGCUUGCUUCUCUGAUGUUAGCGGCGGGCGGGUGAGUAACACGUGGAUAACCUACCUAUAAGACUGGGAUAACUUCGGGAAACCGUAGCUAAUACCGGAUAAUAUUUUGAACCGCAUGGUUCAAAAGUGAAAGACGGUCUUGCUGUCACUUAUAGAUGGAUCCGCGCUGCAUUAGCUAGUUGGUAAGGUAACGGCUUACCAAGGCAACGAUGCAUAGCCGACCUGAGAGGGUGAUCGGCCACACUGGAACUGAGACACGGUCCAGACUCCUACGGGAGGCAGCAGUAGGGAAUCUUCCGCAAUGGGCGAAAGCCUGACGGAGCAACGCCGCGUGAGUGAUGAAGGUCUUCGGAUCGUAAAACUCUGUUAUUAGGGAAGAACAUAUGUGUAAGUAACUGUGCACAUCUUGACGGUACCUAAUCAGAAAGCCACGGCUAACUACGUG